rnacentral:rRNA from 1 species
ACUCAAAGGAAUAGACGGGGGCCCGCACAAGCAGCGGAGCGUGUGGUUUAAUUCGAGGCUACACGAAGAACCUUACCCGGAUUGGACAUGGCGGUGGUAGGGAGGCGAAAGCCGACUGACCCUUCGGGGAGCCGUCACAGGUGCUGCAUGGUUGUCGUCAGCUCGUGCCGUGAGGUGUUCGGUUAAGUCCGCAAACGAGCGCAACCCUUGGUCGUAGUUACAGGUGUCUACGACGACUGCCCGUGAGAAACGGGAGGAAGGCGAGGAUGACGUCAAAUCAGCAUGGCCUCUAUGUCCGGGGCGACACACACGCUACAAUGGGCGGUACAAUGGGGAGCGAGGCCGCGAGGCGGAGCGGAUCCACAAAGCCGUUCGUAGUUCGGAUUGCAGGCUGCAACUCGCCUGCAUGAAGGUGGAGUUGCUAGUAACCGCGCGUCAGCGAUAGUGCGGUGAAUACGUUCCCGGGCCUUGUACACACCGCCCGU